UGGGGAAUCUUGGACAAUGGGGGCAACCCUGAUCCAGCCAUGCCGCGUGAGUGAAGAAGGCCCUAGGGUCGUAAAGCUCUUUCGCCUGUGAAGAUAAUGACGGUACCCGCAGAAGAAGCCCCGGCUAACUCCGUGCCAGCAGCCGCGGUAAUACGGAGGGGGCAAGCGUUGUUCGGAAUUACUGGGCGUAAAGGGCGCGUAGGCGGCACAUCAAGUCAGAGGUGAAAGCCCCGGGCUCAACCUGGGAAUUGCCUUUGAAACUGAUGAGCUAGAGUCCGGAAGAGGAUAGCGGAAUUCCCAGUGUAGAGGUGAAAUUCGUAGAUAUUGGGAAGAACACCAGUGGCGAAGGCGGCUAUCUGGUCCGGUACUGACGCUGAGGCGCGAAAGCGUGGGGAGCAAACAGGAUUAGAUACCCCUGUAGUCC
rnacentral:rRNA from 1 species